GCCAUUUUAGUUUAUUUUAAAACGUGCUAUUUGUAAUUGCGAAAAUAAGGUGGCU
rnacentral:tRNA from 1 species